rnacentral:rRNA from 1 species
AGAGUUUGAUCCUGGCUCAGAUUGAACGCUGGCGGCAUGCCUUACACAUGCAAGUCGAACGGUAGAGUAGCAAUACUCGAGAGUGGCGAACGGGUGAGUAAUAUAUCGGAACGUGCCCAGUCGUGGGGGAUAACGUAGAGAAAUUUACGCUAAUACCGCAUACGAUCUACGGAUGAAAGCGGGGGAUUCGCAAGAACCUCGCGCGAUUGGAGCGGCUGAUAUCAGAUUAGGUUGUUGGUGAGGUAAAAGCUCACCAAGCCGACGAUCUGUAGCUGGUUUGAGAGAACGACCAGCCACACUGGGACUGAGACACGGCCCAGACUCCUACGGGAGGCAGCAGUGGGGAAUUUUGGACAAUGGGCGAAAGCCUGAUCCAGCAAUGCCGCGUGUGGGAAGAAGGCCUUCGGGUUGUAAACCACUUUUGUACGGAACGAAACGGUUCGCUUUAAUACAGUGGGCUAAUGACGGUACCGUAAGAAUAAGCACCGGCUAACUACGUGCCAGCAGCCGCGGUAAUACGUAGGGUGCCAGCGUUAAUCGGAAUUACUGGGCGUAAAGCGUGCGCAGGCGGUUAUAUAAGACAGUUGUGAAAUCCCCGGGCUGAACCUGGGAAUUGCAUCUGUGACUGAAUAGCUAGAGUACGGUA